AGAGUUUGAUCCUGGCUCAGGACGAACGCUGGCGGCGUGCUUAACACAUGCAAGUCGAACGGAAAGGCCUCUUCGGAGGUACUCGAGUGGCGAACGGGUGAGUAACACGUGGGCAAUCUGCCCUGCACUUCGGGAUAAGCCUGGGAAACUGGGUCUAAUACCGGAUAGGACCUCAAGACGCAUGUCUUCUGGUGGAAAGCUUUUGCGGUGUGGGAUGGGCCCGCGGCCUAUCAGCUUGUUGGUGGGGUGACGGCCUACCAAGGCGACGACGGGUAGCCGGCCUGAGAGGGUGUCCGGCCACACUGGGACUGAGAUACGGCCCAGACUCCUAC
rnacentral:rRNA from 1 species